AAGACGGUUAUUAAUAUCUACCCGGGGACA
rnacentral:tRNA from 1 species